UACAGAGGGGGCAAGCGUUGUUCGGAAUUACUGGGCGUAAAGGGCGCGUAGGCGGCCUUCUAAGUCGAACGUGAAAUCCCUGGGCUCAACCCAGGAACUGCGUCCGAUACUGGAAGGCUUGAAUUCGGGAGAGGGAUGCGGAAUUCCAGGUGUAGCGGUGAAAUGCGUAGAUAUCUGGAGGAACACCGGUGGCGAAGGCGGCAUCCUGGACCGGCAUUGACGCUUAGGCGCGAAAGCCAGGGGAGCAAACGGG
rnacentral:rRNA from 1 species